UAACAUUAUAAACUUGUAGAACGAAAAUUAAAGAAAAUAACAAAAACGGAAUCAUAAAAUGUACACUUCAAGGAGAAAAAUCAUUUAAAACAUAAAAUGCUGCUGACUUGUAAGUUUUCGGAAGGGAAAUGGAAUUGUAGGCCUUUUACUGUUCUUGUUGGAAGCGUGCCAAGGAUAGAUCUUUGCUAUUCGAUCUCGAACUGAUUCAUCUUACUAUGCGAGCAUGAUUGGCAAAAAACGAACGGAGUUCUUGUUGGAAGCGUGCCAGAAAAGUUCAAUUUAUAUUUUAGGGGAGAAAAAAAAUGUUAAAAGUCCUUUAGGCAUGUUUUGUAGUUAUAUGUUUGUAUAUUACAAUGGGCGGCAAAUUCACGAACAGCUGCAGGCGGCAAUCUCCGGAACCGAUCCGGGUG
rnacentral:lncRNA from 1 species